UAGCCGUAAACGAUACUCGCUAGGUGUCGGCCACGGUGCGACCGUUGUCGGUGCCGUAGGGAAGCCGUGAAGCGAGCCACCUGGGAAGUACGGCCGCAAGGCUGAAACUUAAAGGAAUUGGCGGGGGAGGCACCACAACGGGUGGAGCUUGCGGUUUAAUUUGGAUUCAACGCCGGAAAUCUUACCGGGACCGACAGCAACAUGAAGGCCAGGCUGAAGACUUUGCCGGAUUAGCUGAGAGGAGGUGCAUGGCGUAGUCGUGU
rnacentral:rRNA from 1 species